rnacentral:rRNA from 1 species
UACGUAGGGUGCAAGCGUUGUCCGGAAUUAUUGGGCGUAAAGGGCUCGUAGGCGGUCCGUCACGUCGGGCGUGAAAUCCUGGGGCUUAACCCCAGAACUGCUUCCGAUACGGGCAGACUAGAGGUAGGUAGGGGAGAAUGGAAUUCCUGGUGUAGCGGUGGAAUGCGCAGAUAUCAGGAGGAACACCAGUGGCGAAGGCGGUUCUCUGGGCCUUACCUGACGCUGAGGAGCGAAAGCGUGGGGAGCAAACAGG